AAUCUCUCUCUCUCUCUAAUACAAUAAAAAAAAGAGUAAAUCAUCUAAGCUCAAAAGUAACUCCGCGCUAACUAGCUACGCGACUCCCUUGCUGCGAUCCCGUGCCUCCGCCGGUGCCGAAGGCUCUGAAAGAAACCAUAAAACAGAGGGUGUGAGAACUAUUAAAUAAUAGUUCCAAGUGGGCAAUUACUGACUUCAGUGAAAUGCGCCACUAGGCCCAAAAGCU
rnacentral:lncRNA from 1 species